rnacentral:lncRNA from 1 species
CCCCUGCCAUGAUCCUGAAAUAUCUUACCAAGGACAGAGCGAUGGAGGAGGUUUGCCUUCCUUACAGUCCAAGGCAGUUGGUGUUAGGGAUCACAGAACAGCAACCAGAUGGAUGGAGGCAGUGUGCCUUCCUGUGUUUGCCAGGAAACUUUGCUCUGUCUUGGGCAAUCCAGGUGUUUGACAACUCCAGAAACACCGAAUUUCUUUGUAUCGAACUCUAUCACAAAAGAUGUUUUGCAGGUUCCUGCCUCAGACCUUCUCUUUGCUGAUAAUAAAGAUAAGAGAUUAUGAAAAUACUAAGGGACUUGUACUAACAGAUUUUUGCAAUACAUCAGCAUGGAAGCACCAAAUAACUGUGUUAGUGGAAUUCAGAUGCAAGUUCUGCAGGAAGAAAAAAAGAAUCUGCUGAGUAACAGUCUGUCAGAUAUGUUAACUGAGAGUGACAACACGAUGUGAUCUGCAAAAAGAGACAAUAAAGACAUUCUACUUACAAAGCA